rnacentral:rRNA from 1 species
AUGUUCCUGUGGCUCGCCAAGCAUAACCGCCGUUGGACGGCUGAGAGAUUAGCCAAGCAGGAAUUGGCCCACCCUCCUCGUUGCGUCAUCUAUGAUCAGGACCCCGAGGACAUCCACCACCUCCUUGCUGCCUACAUUUUCUCCAGGGAGAUUUGGCAUUGCACUCUAGCUUGGUGCAAAAUCACCGCCAGCCCUCCCAACGGCGACCUCACCCUCUACGACUGGUGGAGAGACGCUACUAGCUCCAUCCCGGUGUCGCUCCGAAAAGCCCUUCUGUCCCUGGUGCUGUUGGUCAGCUGGGCCAUUUGGAAGCAUCGCAACACUUGGAUCUUCGACCUAAGGUAACCCUCCACUAGCUACUUGUUUGCUUCGAUCUACGAUGACAUGCGCACCUGGGCCACUGUCGGUGCCAAAGGAAUCCAAGCUGUAAUCGACGCGCUGUAA